AAGCACGAAAGAAAAUGGGUUGAAUAAUGCGAGCGGGACGGGCAAGGGGAUGGGAAUGAUUGGGGGUGAAAUAGAAGCCAUCUGAUAUCAAUAGCCCUUUACUCUAGGUUAGGUACAAACCGCUCAUUUCUAUUAU
ensembl:ncRNA F43E12.4 ncRNA